AACGAACGCUGGCGGCAUGCCUAACACAUGCAAGUCGAACGAGACCUUCGGGUCUAGUGGCGCACGGGUGCGUAACGCGUGGGAAUCUGCCCCUCGGUUCGGAAUAACAGUUAGAAAUGACUGCUAAUACCGGAUGAUGACUUCGGUCCAAAGAUUUAUCGCCGAGGGAUGAGCCCGCGUAAGAUUAGGUAGUUGGUGGGGUAAAGGCCUACCAAGCCGACGAUCUUUAGCUGGUCUGAGAGGAUGAUCAGCCACACUGGGACUGAGACACGGCCCAGACUCCUACGGGAGGCAGCAGUGGGGAAUAUUGGACAAUGGGCGAAAGCCUGAUCCAGCAAUGCCGCGUGAGUGAUGAAGGCCUUAGGGUUGUAAAGCUCUUUUACCAGGGAUGAUAAUGACAGUACCUGGAGAAUAAGCUCCGGCUAACUCCGUGCCAGCCGCCGCAGUAA
rnacentral:rRNA from 1 species